UUAUGAACAUUUUUUAAAGAUCUCACUCCUCUCCAGAAUAACCUGUCUUAUGCCUAAAACAUUAUGACUCAUUAGUCUUUUUUUUUUUUUUUUUGCUAGAGUCAAAACGUGAGACAAAAGUUUCUGCUCCCAAUCCCAAGUUCUGGAAUAUUGGCCGGCAGCAGCACCCUGAGUCAGCAAUCCCUACUGUGCACAAGACAUAGGCUUUUGCUAGUGACAUAAAUUAUGAAUCACAGGAUGCUAGAAUUGGAAUGACCUGGAAAACACAUGCAAAUGCCCAAGUUUCCCUGUUUACAGAAAAAUACUUCAAUGGCUAUAUCCUGCAGCUAUUUAAUUAGCAGAGCCAGGGUAAGACAACAGUAAACUCUCAACUGUGCCAGAUCCUCUUCUAAGUGUUUCACACAUUUGCUCAUUUAACCUCAUAUCCACCCUGUGAGGUAGGAACUCUUACUAUCUUCAUUUUCCUCACGAUGAAACUAAGGCACAGAGAGGUUAAGUAACUCCCCCAAGGUCAGACAGUGGUUCAGUCAGGGUUUAGGUCCAGGUUGUCCAAUCUGGUAUCCCAGCCUCUUAACCACUAGAAACCUUUGUAAGGGUUCUAAUGAAUUGAGAUUUUAAAAAUGCACAUUGAGGCCGGGCACAGUGGCUCAUGCCUGUAAUCCCAGCACUUUGGGAAGCCAAGGCAGGCGGAUCACCUGAGGUCAGGGAUUUGAGAUCAGCCUGGCGAAACCCCAUCUCUACUAAAAAUACAAAAAGUAGCCAAGUGUGGUGGCACAUGCAUCCCAGCUACUCAGGAGGCUGAGACAGGAGAAUUGCUCGAACCUGGGAGGCGGGGGUUGCAGUGAGCUGAGAUCACACCAUUGCACUUCAGCCUGGGCGACAUGUAUAUUGAGGUCUCAGCUUUAAGGUUUCUGCUUGGCUUUUUCUCUUUGUUUUAAAACCUUAAGGUGAAAUAUUUAAACACGAACAAAAAGUAAAAUCUAUCCACUGAAUGGACUGAAUGAAAACAUCGUACAAACCUCCCCCUUGAGAGAAAAGGAUUUUAGUAACAUCUUUGGGGUUUUUGCCUCUUGGUUGGGUUGCUUAGGGAUGAGAGCUAGAGUUGUCUGCUCUAAAUUAUAAUGUAUUGGGGUGAACAGAAUAUACCCAUCAACAGGAUAUGUGCUAUGCAUAAAAUAUCUCUGGGAAGUUUGAAAAAAACUAGUAAUAUAUAUUGCCUACCAGGGGGGUUGCUGAGUGUUUGGGCAGAAAAAGGAGACAGACUGUUCUAGUACAUUUUGUACCUUUGGAAUUCACAGCCAUGUAAACAGAUUAUCUAAUCAAACAACACAAAUUAAAGACAGGCUCCUGCUUGUCUUGUUGUGAGUACGCUGCAUGCCUGUACUUACUGCUUUGAAUCCUAUUUUUUUGGUUCUUACAACAUAACCAUUUUCUCAUGCUACUGAAAGUUUUUCAUGAACAUGAGUUUUAUGCAAACGUUCUUGUUAAAAAUCUGAAGAAAUCGGAAGACUCCCAAAACAGGUAACUUCUAUUUCUCAAUCUCUCACUUUUCUUUGGGAUUUGUCAUUAUUGGGAAUCACAAUUUAUAUAUUCAGAAUCUCCCAUUUCUGAAGAAUUCACCAAUGUGUAUUAAUCCUAUCCUAGGUUUAGAACACAAUACUUGGCAUUUUUACCGUCAUUUUCCUCAUCGAAUCCCCACAAGUGCCUGAGGUAGAUAUUGUCAUCUUCGUUCUGUGUAAGGGAGCAGAGGGUCAGAAGAUUCAGGCAGCCCAGAAAUCACAGGGCUUGCAUCUGGAUCCAGAAUCUGGACUGUGGGCUUCAUGCCACUUUCUCCUUACCAAAAUGCCACCAGUUGGUCUGUGGCACUUUCAAAGGCAGCUUUCCUGCCCCACAGUGCACGUCUCUAACCAUACAUGCACUCAACAAUCAUUUAUUUAUUUUUUUAUUAUGAUUUUUUAUUGAGACGGAGUUUCACUCUUGUUGCCCAGGUUGGAGUGCAAUGGCACAAUCUUGGCUCACCGCAACCUCCACCUCCUGGGUUCAAGUGAUUCUCCUUCCUCAGCCUCCCAAGUAGCUGGGAUUACAGGCAUGCGCCACCACGCAUGGCUAACUUUGUAUUUAGUAGAGACGGAGUUUCACCAUGUUGGUCAGGCUGGCCUCAAACUCCCAACCUCAGGUGAUCCACCCACCUCGGCCUCCCAAAGUGCUGGGAUUACAGGCGUGAGCCACCGCACCCGGCCUCAACAAUCAUUUAUUAUGGUCCAGCAACAUCCACAGAUUUGGGGCCUGAAAGAGGAAGAUGACAUGCUUCCUGCACUCCCAGGUCUGCAAGCAGAAAAGACAGCGAGGUGCUCUUCCACAAAACAGGCGGCAUGCAGUGGCAGCCCAGGGAGCCCCGGGCAGGUCUGGGAAGGCACCUCCGAGCUGACAAGGGGGACUGAGCGACAAUAAAGGGAGGGCGACAGGCGCUGCAGGCAGGAGGAACAAUGGGACCCUGCACCCAGGAAGGCUGGGCAGGGUCUUUGUAAACAGUGGUGACCGUGGUUGCAGGAGUCAGCCGGGGAGGGGUGCUCACACUGCUCAGACAUUCAGGAGGUGGGGAGGGGCCCCACUUCUACAGAUGAGAAAAUAAGAUCAGGCAGGCAGUGUGUGCCCCAGGAGAUAUCACGUAAGCGGCAGAGCCAAUAUGAUCAGGAGAGCCAGAGCAACCAAGGUCAGGACAUUCCAGUGACAACGGGCCCCUGGUGAGGGCAGGUGGCCUAUUUCAAGGGUAAACAGGAGCCUGGUCCGGCUGGAGCCAUGUGUGACGGGACUGAGAAGACUCCGGGUAUAAAGGCAGAGUGCAGUGACAAUGUGCCCUGAGAGCUGCCCUGGAGAAAUGCACUGCAGCGGGUUGGAAAUGGGGUCUCUCCAGGUGAUGGGAACAUGAACGAUGGUGCAUGUGGAAUGGAUGCAAAAGUGGGAGAAACUGGAGAACGGGGGCCUUCCCAGAGAGCUGCUGCUUUGAGCCUGGACACAGUAAUGAGAAGGAGAGUGACGGGGUGAGUGGAAGGCAAGGGCAGGAGAGGGGCUUCAGGGAAGAAUUAAUGAACUCGUGGACUAGCGCUUCCUGCCAACAGAAUAACUGCCCCAUCCCUGAGCCAAAACCCCGAACUUACAUGGACCUAAGGGCAGUAUCAAAAGUGAGAUUUCUAGGAUACAUGUACAACAAAAGAAAAAAUAAAUAAAAAUUGGACAUCAUCAAAAUUAAAAGCUUUAGUAUUUCAAAGGACAUCAUCAAGGAAAUGAAACAGCUCACGGAGAAAAAUU
rnacentral:lncRNA from 10 species